rnacentral:ncRNA from 1 species
CAAAGGCUUGGUCCUGACUUUACCAUCAGCUCUGACCCAAUUUACACAUGCAAGUCUCCGCAGACCCGUGAGGAUGCCCUCAAUCCCCCGCCCGGGGACGAGGAGCAGGCAUCAGGCACAACCCCUUAGCCCAAGACGCCUUGCCACGCCACACCCCCAAGGGAAAUCAGCAGUGAUAAACAUUAAGCCAUAAGUGCAAACUUGACUUAGUUAGGGCUAAGAGGGCCGGUAAAACUCGUGCCAGCCACCGCGGUUAUACGAGAGGCCCCAGUUGAUGGGCACGGCGUAAAGGGUGGUUAAGGUAGAACAUAAAUAAAGCCAAAGGGCCUCUUGGCCGUCAUACGCCCCUGAGCGUCCGAAGCCCAGACACGAAAGUAGCUUUAACACUAGCCCACCUGACCCCACGAAAGCUGAGAAACAAACUGGGAUUAGAUACCCCACUAUGCUCAGCCGUAAACCCAGACGUUAUUUCACAACAAACGUCCGCCAGGGUACUACGAGCGUCAGCUUAAAACCCAAAGGACUUGGCGGUGCCUUAGACCCCCCUAGAGGAGCCUGUUCUAGAACCGAUAACCCCCGUUAAACCUCACCACUUCUGGUCACCCCCGCCUAUAUACCGCCGUCGUCAGCUUACCCUGUGAAGGAUCAACAGUAAGCAAAAUGGGUAAAACCCAAAACGUCAGGUCGAGGUGUAGCGAACGAAGUGGGAAGAAAUGGGCUACAUUUUCUAAAAUAGAAUAAUACGAACAGCAUCAUGAAAACCUGGUGCUUAAAGGAGGAUUUAGUAGUAAAAAGGAAAUAGAGUGUCCUUUUGAACCCGGCUCUGAGGCGCGUACACACCGCCCGUCACUCUCCCCGCCAAACAGCGACAAUAGUUUAUAACACCAAAGCACAAACAAGGGGAGGCAAGUCGUAACAUGGUAAGUGUACCGGAAGGUGCACUUGGAUCAAAC